rnacentral:rRNA from 1 species
AGAGUUUGAUCCUGGCUCAGGACGAACGCUGGCGGCGUGCCUAAUACAUGCAAGUAGAACGCUGAAGAGAGGAGCUUGCUCUUCUUGGAAGAGUUGCGAACGGGUGAGUAACGCGUAGGUAACCUGCCUUGUAGCGGGGGAUAACUAUUGGAAACGAUAGCUAAUACCGCAUAACAAUGGGUGACCCAUGUCAUUCAUUUGAAAGGGGCAACUGCUCCACUACAAGAUGGACCUGCGUUGUAUUAGCUAGUAGGUGAGGUAACGGCUCACCUAGGCGACGAUACAUAGCCGACCUGAGAGGGUGAUCGGCCACACUGGGACUGAGACACGGCCCAGACUCCUACGGGAGGCAGCAGUAGGGAAUCUUCGGCAAUGGGGGCAACCCUGACCGAGCAACGCCGCGUGAGUGAAGAAGGUUUUCGGAUCGUAAAGCUCUGUUGUAAGUCAAGAACGAGUGUGAGAGCGGAAAGUUCACACUGUGACGGUAGCUUACCAGAAAGGGACGGCUAACUACGUGCCAGCAGCCGCGGUAAUACGUAGGUCCCGAGCGUUGUCCGGAUUUAUUGGGCGUAAAGCGAGCGCAGGCGGUUUGAUAAGUCUGAAGUUAAAGGCUGUGGCUCAACCAUAGUUCGCUUUGGAAACUGUCAAACUUGAGUGCAGAAGGGGAGAGUGGAAUUCCAUGUGUAGCGGUGAAAUGCGUAGAUAUAUGGAGGAACACCGGUGGCGAAAGCGGCUCUCUGGUCUGUAACUGACGCUGAGGCUCGAAAGCGUGGGGAGCGAACAGGAUUAGAUACCCUGGUAGUCCACGCCGUAAACGAU